GACGGGGGGGGCAAGUGUUCUUCGGAAUGACUGGGCGUAAAGGGCUCGUAGGCGGUCUGUCACGUCGGGAGUGAAAACACGGGGCUUAACCCCGUGCCUGCUUCCGAUACGGGCAGACUAGAGGUAUGCAGGGGAGAACGGAAUUCCUGGUGUAGCGGUGAAAUGCGCAGAUAUCAGGAGGAACACCGGUGGCGAAGGCGGGUCUCUGGGCCGUAACUGACGCUGAGGAGCGAAAGCGUGGGGAGCGAACAGG
rnacentral:rRNA from 1 species